rnacentral:lncRNA from 1 species
CUUCUGGAGUCUCUCUGGUUCCCUCCUUGUGUCCUCUCUGCUCUUUCCUGCCGUGUCCUGCCGGGACACGGGCCUUCCUAGGAGUUCGCCAAAGAAGGAAGCACGUAGAGGAGCCAAAUCAAGAACUCUCGAGGGUGGGGGGUGGGGAAGAAGAGGGAGGGCUGGGCUUGCUCAAGCUGGAGGACCCCAAAGCAAACCCACACUGCCGCAGCCCUCCUCCCUUCCUGAGCCAUCCCCUCUCCAAAUCAGGAAGAACGACCAAAGGAAAAGAGGGGGCGCCCUCGGCACGGUGGGAACUUCGCAGGCCUCGAGGAGGGCGUACACAGUCGCUGGGACAGCCAGUGUCCGCUGGAGUUGCAAAUCCUAUGUUCGGAGGGAAUUCUCAGGCCUCCAAGAUCUUUGUGAGGAGUGGAGCGAGUAACAGUUACCUCCACGGCACUUGCAGGCAGGAGGGAUUGUUCGUUUCCAAGAAGAUCUGCACCGGCUGUACCCAAAUAGAACGUCAUUUUGAUAUGAAGGAUUUCAGCCCCUGAAGAUUUUGAUACCCACAGAGUUGCUGGAAACAGCUCUCCUGGAUACCAAGGGAUGCUCAUCUCAUAUUUGAAUCAUCCCGACCCUCACUGAGCAGACAGCUCCCAGAGUAACGCUGACUCAGAGAGAAGGAAUUCGAGUCACCCGGGAUAUUUAAAAUAUUCUAGUAGCCACGUAGUUUAACAGAAAGAAAAAAAAUAUUAAGACAAGUGAGAUGAACCUUAAUAAUAUUUAAUCCAAUGAUGUAAACUAUUUUCAUAUGUAAUCAAUAUAAAAUAAUUAGUGCU